rnacentral:tRNA from 2 species
UGCCACGAAUCCGAGCAAGGUGCAUGGACCAGACUGUUAAUCUGAGGUUAGAUGGGUUCGAUUCCCAUAGUGGUAG